rnacentral:rRNA from 1 species
ACUCUACGGGAGGCAGCAGUGGGGAAUUUUGGACAAUGGGCGCAAGCCUGAUCCAGCAAUGCCGCGUGCAGGAAGAAGGCCUUCGGGUUGUAAACUGCUUUUGUCAGGAAAGAAAUCUUCUGGGCUAAUACCCCGGGAGGAUGACGGUACCUGAAGAAUAAGCACCGGCUAACUACGUGCCAGCAGCCGCGGUAAUACGUAGGGUGCGAGCGUUAAUCGGAAUUACUGGGCGUAAAGCGUGCGCAGGCGGCUUUGCAAGACAGAGGUGAAAUCCCCGGGCUCAACCUGGGAACUGCCUUUGUGACUGCAAGGCUAGAGUACGGCAGAGGGGGAUGGAAUUCCGCGUGUAGCAGUGAAAUGCGUAGAUAUGCGGAGGAACACCGAUGGCGAAGGCAAUCCCCUGGGCCUGUACUGACGCUCAUGCACGAAAGCGUGGGGAGCAAACAGGAUUAGAUACCCUGGUAGUCCACGCCCUAAACGAUGUCAACUGGUUGUUGGACGGCUUGCUGUUCAGUAACGAAGCUAACGCGUGAAGUUGACCGCCUGGGGAGUACGGCCGCAAGGUUGAAACUCAAAUGAAUUGACGG